rnacentral:rRNA from 1 species
AGAGAUAGCUGGUUCUCCCCGAAAUAUCUUUAGGGAUAGCGUCAACAAAAUAGGUUUAUCGAAGGUAGAGCACUGAAUGUGUGAUGGCCCCACCUCGGGGUACUGAUCUCAAUCAAACUCCGAAUGUCGGUAAAGUAAGUUGGCAGUCAGACUACGGGUGAUAAGGUUCGUGGUCAAAAGGGAAAGAGCCCAGACCGCCAGAUAAGGUCCCAAAAUAUAUGCUAAGUGGAAAAGGAAGUAGAGAUGCACAAACAGCCAGGAGGUUGGCUUAGAAGCAGCCAUCCUUUAAAGAGUGCGUAAAAGCUCACUGGUCGAGUGACUCUGCGCCGAAAAUGUACCGGGGCUAAGCAUAUUACCGAAGCUGCGGAUUUAAAAAGAUUUUUUAAGUGGUAGGGGAGCGUUCCUAACAGCGGUGAAGCUAGAUCGUGAGGACUAGUGGAGCGUUAGGAAGUGAGAAUGCCGGUGUAAGUAACGAAAAGACAGGUGAGAAUCCUGUCCGUCAUAAACCCAAGGUUUCCAGG